GCGGGAAUAGCUCAGUUGGUAGAGCACGACCUUGCCAAGGUCGGGGUCGCCAGUUCGAAUCUGGUUUCCCGCUCCA
rnacentral:tRNA from 2 species